AUACAUCUACUGUAUACCCACAAAAAUUCUUUUAAAAAAAGAUCAACAUGGUCCCUGUUGAACAAGGAUGACAGGCAAAUUCAUGAAGUGUUUCACAUUUUU
rnacentral:snRNA from 1 species